AGCGGGGUAGAGGAGUAGUACCUUACCAGGCUCAUAACCUGGAGACGCUGGUGCAAUUCCAGCCCCCGCAA
rfam:Parcubacteria bacterium DG_74_3, whole genome shotgun sequence.